AUGCUUUUAUAUUGAAAGGACAGGGAGCACUGAAAGUAAUCUACCUCUAGUUAACUCCGUUUUUAUUUUAUUUAUUUAUUUAUUUUUACAGGAAGUCAUUGCAGUCGGAUUAGAGAAUGCUGAUUAAUGGAGCAUUAAAAAUGUCGUAAACAACUACAAAUAACACAAGAUUGUGUGAUUACAGGCCUAACAACACCCCAUAUUGAAAAAAAGGAGGAUUUCCUGUUCUCCUGAGUCUGCCAGCGUGGUGUGAAUACAGCAGUUGUCAGGAAGAUAAAGCAGAAAGGCGUCUCAAGAAUCCCUUUCAAAGAGCCACCAGUGCGCCCGGGGACCGGUGAGCAGCAUCCAGAGACCAGCACUCGUCCCCUGCCCAGAGUCUGAGGAGCAGCGAACUGAAGAGUUGAUGCGUUCAGAAGCCAGUGUAAAUGCUCAUCCGGCGAGCUCCUCGCGCUGCCACGAUGGAAAAUGAAACGGCCUCUCCAGCUGGAAGAACAAGUGCUGUGUGGGCUCCCUGAAGUGGUGCAACACUGGGUCAUUGGAGAGCCACAGCAUGUUUGGGAACAGAACAGUCUGUGUUAUUUCAGCACAGCCUGUUGGAUGAAGGGCCAUUUCACAGGCAUUAUGGAUUAAUCUUUGGCAGGAUCUCUCCAGGAUCAAACAAAACUGGAUGUUUAACCUCAUGUGUCCUAGAGCUGAGAGAUCUCUUGUGAUAAACCCGGAUAGAGAGGAUUGAAUGUGACCCAUAUUGGGUUAAGCAUCACAUACGAAAUAUAUUUAAACUGACUCCUGAAUAAGAAUAUGAAUAUAUAGUUAGUAUUCACAUCCUUCUGCAGGUGAGUGUAAUCUAACCUUGAAACAAUUAUUAAACUAAACAAUCUGCUUUAUUAUCUUUGUCCUAAAUAAAGUCAUUUUGAAUAUACAGUAGUUUUGAUGUCAAACUACCAUUCCACAAUCAGAAAAAACGGAAAUGAUUUUGAACUUUUGAGCAAGCCAUGCAAACGCCUGAUUGUGUUCCUGUUGAGGUAAAAAAAAAAAAAAAAAAAAAGAAAGAAAGAAAACGUCUUUGUUUUGUAUUUUAUUUAUUUCUCCACCUUGCUGUUUUUAUUAGUAACACAGCUUAAACCUUCAAUCUCUUCUCUCACAUAUUAUAAACUAUGUGUUAUAUUUGGUUGAGUGUACAAAUAUCACUAUUUUCUGUUUGACAGGAGCAGUGAUUGACAGGUCUAAAUUUAACAGACAUGGUCUAUUUUCACAUGCUGAAGGAAUUUUAGUAUUGGCCUGGAGAUGAGGAUAUAAUAGAUGCGAUGCAAAACAAUAAAAUGCACACUGUCAACAGAAAUACAUGCAUGUGAUCUGUUUUACUGUGUUAACAGACUGAGGCGUACAAAGUAGAAACACUUACAAAGAUACACUGAAUGCAGAGUGAGUGCUUGAUGCAGAGCGGGUUGAAUCAGAGAUUAGACUUCAGUGGGAUUUUCACAGACUGUAAAUCAGAUUUUUAACCCUGUGUUCUUAAUCCAGACCCAGUGGUCACAGGAGGAUAUGUGCUGACAUUCUGCUUCUGAUUAAAAGUUUAUUGUAACUAAAGCCUUAACCGUCUAACUGCAAUGUUGCACCAGCUCUUGAAAUGCUUUCAGUCCUCAACUGUGUAUGUUUAAAGAAGAUAUUUUAUUGCUUUAUUUAUCCAUUGGGCUUUUAGAAUAAAUGCAGGCAUUGUGUGACACACAAAACAUACAGUUUUGAUUAAUGAUUAUAACUCUUAACAGUGAUUUAUGAUGGUUUAACACAGUGUACAAUAGAAAUGUACUGGGGCAGGGGGCAGACUGUAUGACGUUAUCUCUUCACAUCUCAUAUAUGCUGUUCUGGUUUUUGUGUUGUAAAUGCAUGGUGGGACACAAUCCACUUGAUUUUUUCAUAUUCAUUAUAAUAACCACAAAUAUAACAGCUGCUUUUUAAAAAUGUUUCUUGGAAGUGUUAUAUUCAUAGAAUGACUUUGAUGAGUGUUAGCUCGAUUUCACGAAUAGAAUGGUGGGUAUACUGUGUUACAUAAAGAAACUGUACAUGUGUUUUACAGAACAGUGCAUCUGUGAGCAGGUGAACUGCUUUAAGGAUCACCAACUAACACCAGUGUGAGUAUGUCAGGAACGAGAUGUACCUGCCUCUCUGUUCAGUGAUACUCUUUUCAUUAUGUUUUAAUUAAUUUUAUCCUUAACUUUUUUUCACCAUCAGGACCCAGAACCACAGUCUGUAGUGUUUGAUAUUAAAAAUACAUAUUGGAGUAGUUGGAGGCUAAGAGUUCUGCUCAAGGACAAUAAAGAUGAGAGGGCAUGUCUUAAUCAACUCUCUUUAGCAAUAUUUGAAAUGCAAACUAUCAAACCACACCGUGAAACUAGCUUUGCACUGAUAUGCGUUUUGGAAUAUAAUCAAAAUACCUGCAACUCAGAAUGAAGUCGCCCACUGUGCCAUGAUUUCGUACCUGUUUUCUCAUAUCAACAUGCUCCUGUGAAAUCACGUGACUACAUGAAUUACGCCAUCUGAUUUCACAAACCACGGCUCUAUAUUAAACUGACUGACAGCAGUAAUUCUCACUGUCAAAAUAAAAUCAAUCAUCUUCAGUUACCGUAAUUUUCCAUGUUGCAAUCUGAUGACGCAGGGUGGACUCAUGUGCUCACAUAUUGUGUAUAGACGCUGUGUUGGUAUAAUUCCCGUAUAUCCUAUCUAGGGAAUGCUGCAUUGACUGUUUUGAAUUAGAGUUUGGCUUUCAGUAACCUAUUCCACCCACAUACUGUAAAUAACGGCAAAUGAAAUAGCCUGUAGGCAGAUGACAAGCGAGGAUUUUACCUUUGUUUGCCCAUGACAUUGUUAGAUGUGGAAUUAAGGGACAGUGUGAAGGUGGCACGUUACCUGAUCUCCACUUUUUAUAAUGCUUAGAUUAAGGGCCCAAAUACUGACUAAAGGACUUGUAAUGCAUAUUUAAAUUUCCUACGUGGCCUCUCCGCUAACUUACUUUUUAUUUAGCCAAAUAGAAAGUCAUCUGAAAAUUAACAGCUAAAACUGUGUGAUCUGAGAAUAAAGGGGAGAUCACACUGUUCACUUGAAGGACCAUGGCUAUGCCUACAGAUCACUAAUAAUUUUAAUGACUGAAUCUGCUUUCUGAUGGAGUCAGGAAAUAUAAUUAAUCUAAUUCUACAAUAUUUUGAAGAAGUAAUCCUUUUAGCAAUGCAUGUAUUGUUUGAUCAAUUAAGUCUAUAAUACAACUGCCUGAUUGAACUGACUGAUUUCCUCCAACUCAGAUUAUGAAAACAAUAGUAAUGAGUCCCUGUCCUAAUAUGUGAGAUUUGAUUGAAUUCACAGACCCAGCUUUGUCUGUUUUGGUGAUCAGCAGCUCUCCAGGGAUCACUGUCUCCCAUGUAUCACUUAAUUCAGUGCUUUGAGCACAAGCAAGGUGCUCCAACCUGCUGAGUGACUAUAGCUCUAUUACAUGUCAAUAACAGUUUUGUUAUGCAAGCUCAUAGCUAGCGAACUGCAGGCUGAACUUAAAUAUGUAGGCUGCAAUAACAGUAAGAAUACAUCCGAUGUCUAUUGAU